UAGAUUUUAGUUAAAUAAAGCCAAGCAUGAACAAUUCCAAAUUCCAGUUCCUGUUUGGCUUUGGUCAACCUAAGCUGGUGGCAAUAGCAAAUAGCUAUCAUUUUCAACAAGCAAAAGCUCCUAAAUUGGUGAAUAAUUUGGUAUUAGUUGCUCAUAUGUAAACUGUGGUUGGAUUUCUUUAUGUUUAUUUUAAUGCCACCACCAGCACAAGGUAUCUGCCGUAGGAGAGGGGGCGAAGAAAUAGAAUCAUGAUUAUUUUAAUGCAAUUUAAACUCUGCUUGCUAGUGUGUGAUAACGGUAUAAGGUUGAAGGAAAUUGCUCUAAUGUGUCCAAUAGAUUUUUCUUUGAGGAAAAAGAUCAAAUUUCCAUGUUGUAUUAGUAAAUAAACCAUUUCUCAUGUCAUGUUUCAAAACCCUCGGCUGUAAAAAAGAAGCUAAUUCUUUUCUUUUCUUUUUUUUCUAUAUGAUUGGCAUAGUAAAAAUCCACCAUCAAUUAACAAAAUUUUUGGAUAAAUACUCGUUAGUCCAUAUAUUAGCUUAAGUGUCCGUUUAGUUUAUAUAUUUUAAAAAUACUUCAAGAUGUGUCUACUAUUAAAUACAUUAUACUUUUAUCUUUACUUUUUCUUUACUUUUACAAUAAUAUCCUUGAAACAAUUCUUUAUACUUUAAUUUUUUAAUCUAAAAAAAUUAACUAGAAAAUUAACCAAUAAUUACUUAUUGUCAAAUUAAAAAAUAAAAAUCAAUACGAAGCAACUGAUACUUUUCAUACCCUUGCAACAAUCUUGCUAAUUAUUAUUUAUAAAUAAAUUAAUACCAACCAGUUUAAAAAAAAGAUUAAUAUUCUUGCAACAAACUUACUAAUAAUUUUCCAUAAAAAAACUAAUUUACCAUAUUAAUCCUAAAAGUAAAAUAACAUCAACUAAUUUUUUACUUAUGUUUAAGCCUAAUUUGAUAAAUUUACAUUUUUUUCAUUAAUAUCUCUAAAAAUAUUGUUGCAAGAGUAUUAUUGUAAAAGUAAAGAAAAAGUAAAGAUAAAAUCGUAAUAUAAUUACUAAUAAGAGUGUCUUGAGGUAAUUUUUAAGAUACAAGAAUUACACGGAUACUUAAUUCAAAAUAUAGAAAUUAACCAAGUAUUUUUAAAAAAAUAUUUUUAGGGCAAAACAGUAAAAGACAAAAUACGAGAGUUAUUUGAUUUUUUUUUUUUUUUAACAAUACUAGAGUUUUGUGAGUGUAGAAGAAAUUGAUUAAUUUCGACAAACAUCAGGAUGUUUUUAGCAAUCAUUUUUUUGUUCUUGACUUAAUGUGACGUGAGACUAUUAAUAUUAAUCGCCGAAAUCAGUCUUCAUCAGCACGCCAAAAUCUUUGGACCUCACAAUCACGGGCUUACCAACCGAGCAAGCAAGCGCGGAGUGCUUACUUUGAAUUAUAUGAUUGUGUGUGAGAAUGAAACUACAUUAUUCGUGGGGUCAUAAAUUGCAAUUACAUUAUUUGAAUUGAAUAAUCAAAAUUGUAGGCUUUCUUAAAGAUUAUAUUUUAAUUGGACGCGUGAUUGCGAUGAUUAGUUGGCAAUUAAAGAUCAAAGGAAACAUCUUGGUACUGGAGCCCUUUCACUACCAAACUGUCUGGUUGCAAUUGCAUGCGAAAUUCCGCGUCAAUAAUUCAGCAUCGGCAGUGCCACACAAUAAAAAUACAAUUAUUUAUAAUAAUAUUAAAAUUCCAACAUUUGAGUCACUAAUUUGACAUUUAAUACUAUAUAUUAUUCAUUUAUUAG
rnacentral:lncRNA from 1 species